AAAAACCACUCAAGCUCUUUUGCUUGGUUAUGGAAGAUGAGUGCGCCUAGCGUUCUCCCUUUCGAAAUUCAAUGGCGGAAAGCCCCAUGUGCCCCGGCGUAGUAAGUUUUCUUUCGCUUGGAACAUGAGGUGAUCCUGCCACAAACCCCCAAUUUUUCUAGGUUGACCUCGGAUCAGGUAGGGAUACCCGCUGAACUUAA
rnacentral:misc_RNA from 1 species